CACGCGCGCAGGGAGAGCGCGAGGCUGUCUCUCACCCCCCCUUCCUUCUCCAGCUUGGCCCAGACCGGUUCCAACCUGCUAGGACCGGUCCCAGCUUCCUCAACUGUCACCAACCUCUGGUCGGGCCGUGGGGCGGGAAACUCGGUCCCGGCCUCCGAGUUGGGAUGGCAGGAGCUCGGUCUCGAGUACACACUUCUCAGGGUAGGCCUUGGAGGCCCGAGCGUUCCUCAGACCGUAAAACCACAGGACCAGGCUCUUGGGGAGCGAGAAGUCCACUACAUGACAACUAUGUUAGACACUAAAGAAGGCUUCCCCUCAGUCCAUAUGCUUCUGCUCUGACUGGUGAUUUCUGUCAUCCUACAAAGACUGACUUAUUGGUGAGGGCAGCUGGACAACUCUGAGAGCAACAACUUAGAGCAAUGCAUCUUGGGCAUACUGUGCUCUGGAGAUAGCACCCCAUGUAAGUGCAAAAAACAAGACACCCUCGUGGACCUACACUUCCCGCUUCCAACACCCUGAUGCCUGAAGUGUGUAGAGUUUGACAACAGUGCCGAGACUGAGGAGAAAGAGAAGAUGGAAAGGAGUCUAGCAAGUAAAAAUGUCGUAGCGUUCUGUGUGGUGACUUUUCCUGUUGGUGGCUCGGUUUAUUUAGGAGAUAAAGAAGAUACUGAGGCCACUGGCAGUUUCAUCAUGUCCUAAGUAGAGGGGUGAACGAGAUGUCCCGUUCAGUAAAGUGCUUAUCUCUUCUAAGCAUGAGGACCUGGGCUUGAAUCCCCGGCAUCCAGAUUAAAAAGCUAGGCAUGGCAGCACAUGCCUGCAAGCCCAGCACUUGUGGAGACAGGAAGAUCUGGCCAAAUUGUUGCACUCCGGUUCAGUGAGAGCCUCUGUUUUAACAAAUAGGUGGAGUGCAAUAGAGGAAGACCCCAGCGUCAGCCUCUGGCCUCCACACACGUGCACCUCUAUCCAUGCACACAUACACGUGUAACUACAAAAAUAAAGGAAAAUUAAAACCAAGUGGGAAGUUUUUCUCCUCAUUCUAUGUAGUGGGUCACAGGUAUGGAUGACAUGGUAUAUUUCUAUAAUUGUGAUUACUCGAGCACUGGUAUUUAUAAAGUGUAUGUGAAACACAAAUGAACCUUGUUCCAUCCCCAUGAUAGCUUAGUGUGUAGUUUCCCAAAUUUAAAAAGAUUAAAAGUGACUUUCAUCUCAAGCAUUCCAGAUACGGUAUACUCAGCCUGUAAAGGGAAAUGCAUGCAUGAUUAAUAUGCAAAACAGAAUAAGAACUAUAAGAAAUGCCUAAGGUGGCUCUGGGUGUGGCUUAGCGGUAGAGUACCAUGUGCAAGGCUGUGGGUUCCAUCUCCAGCAUUUCCAGUGCAGGGGAGCUAACAGAUAGUUAGGUGGAAAGCAAGAAAGACUUCACAGAAGUGGCAUUCAGAAGAUUGAUUUCCAUUUAGUCCACCUUCGUUGGUUUCCUCAGGUAAGGAGUGAGACUUGAGCAAAGACAGGAAGUUUUCUUGCCGCUAGCACUGCAGCUAUGUCCAGAGUGGUGAGGAGGCCGAGUUGAAAACCCACACUGGGAUGGGUGGACGGGACUAGGAAUGCCAGGCCGAGCAGUGGUGGCCACUUAUUCGGGUUUCAGGAAGACCAACAAGUUCUUUUAAAAAGUCCUGUGUAUCUGACAUGGGGCAGUAGAAAUGGAAGUGUGGCUGUAAUGACCUAUUGCUUCUGUCCUUACCUGAGGAAUCCCUGUCCGGCAUGUGAGCCAUCUGCGUGUGACACUGUAGGCAUUUCUGCCUCAGUCAUGCAGGCUUCUUUUAGUGAGAGCCACUGGUGUCCAAAGCUAGGGACCACGUAUUAGCCUUCUUCCUGUCUCCUGUGUGCCUGCCAAGAUGCUGAUACCAAACUUUUUGUUUUAUUUUUGUUAUUGAGACAGAGUCUCACUGAGUUGUCCUGGCUAUCCUGGAAUCUUUUAUGUUGUAAAGGCUGGCUUCCAACUCAGAGAGAGCUACCUGCCUCUGCCUACUGAGUGCUGGGAUUAAGGGCGUGGGCAGUCAAGCCUGGCCUCAAAUGUUUUAAGUAGAUGAUAUCACGUGCCUUUAAUCCCAGAACUCAAGAGGCAGAGGCAGGUGAGUUUAAGGUCAGCCUGGUCUACGUAGUUCAUUUCAGGACAGCUAGAGCUACACAGAGAAACCCUAUCUCAAAAAAACAAAAGAAAAAAGGUUUUUGUUGUUUGUUUUUGAGACAGGGUCUUACUGUGUAGAACAAGUUGACCUCGGACUCAAGAGAUCUACCCUUCUCUGCCUGCGCCCAGUGGUGGGGUUAAAGGCUAUACCACCAUACCCUGUCAGACUUUCAGGAGCACCAAUAUUUAUUUUGCAAAUAAAAACACAGGAUAUUAUCUAGUGGUAACAUAGCUUGUACCCAUUAUCCUAGCUACUUAGACAAGACAGAAUAAUUGCCUAAGCCCAGCACUUUGAGGCCAGCCUGGACAUAUACAACGAGACCUUGUCUGAAGAGAACAUUGAAGUACAGGACACCAGCUAGAUAGAAUCACAGAUACACAGUGUGUAAUUCUACAGAAUCAGUGUGCCUCAUGCUGUGUGCAGCCAUACUUGUUUAUGCUAGGCAAGUACUCAUUGUUUAUCUGGAGCUCCAGCCUAAUUAGGUGUUCGGGUUUACUCUGCCGGGCCUUCGCACUUCCUCUUUCCUCCUGACCUCAUUUUCUACCUGAGUUACUCUCCUAGUGGACCAGCAUAUAGAAAGAAUGUCUUUUUCUCAAAGGAUUAGCCUAGUAGCUUAGAGCAUGGGUGCCCCAGCUUAGUGCCAGGGCUUGAUACCUGAAUAUAGCCAAGAAGGCACAGUUGUUUGUCUAGCCAGACAGACAAAUGGGAAAAAAAAACAAAGCUUCUGUUUAAAUGCCAGAGGAGCCAAGAGAGUGUAGAUCGUAGGGGCCUUUCAGUUUUCUCUUCGGUAUCUUAGAUGUACUUGGGACCCAGAGUUGAUACCUGUGGGUUUGCCUGCUGCACUCCCUUCUCCAGGCUCUCGGUUGCUCCUAUAGAGGCAGUUGGCACUCAUGGAACCAGAUACAUUGUUAUAUCCUACUGUUAAUUUUCUCCAGAGCAUUUAAUCUGCUAGCACCUUCUUCCUUUAAGCCUUCUUCCAUCCCAGUCUGGGUCAGGGUCCUUUUUGGUACCUAAGAUACCCGGAGCAGAGCCCCUUACAUUUCUUUCCAUCAGUCUCUCCUAAUCUUUUGUUUUGUGAAAGAGUUUCUCUGUUUAACCGUCCUGGAACUCACUCUGUAGACCAGGCUGGCCUCAAACUCAGAGAGAUCUGCUUGCCUCUGGCGUGCGUCAUCGCCAUCCAGCAGUCCCAUCUAUUCUUGUGUAUCUCCCAUGAAAACAUGAGCAGGACAAACAGUGUCCUCAUUGCUUGGCCCUGCGUCUGUACCCAGAUGUGCUGGGUUUAACAGGUGCUGCCUGACUCCAGACACUUCUGUUUGAUCCCGUCCCCGGUCCUGCCCACCCGGCCUGCUCUUUAUUGGACCAGGCCGCAGGAAUCUGGGCAGAAGUCCUAUGACUAUGUACUCCAGAUAUAAGCUCUGCCCGAGCCCAGGCAGCAGCUGGUUCAAAUCUGCUGCUUCUGCCUCACUUGCUUAGGUAUACAACAUUGCACAUGAUGCCCUCGGCAUCUCCUUACCUCUCAGCCCAUUGGUUGCUUGUAUUGUUGACUUGAGAAAAUAUCUGGAGAAAUUUGCCUGCCCAGUGGUCUCGAAGAUAGCAGGACUUGCUGAUCUGUUUGAUUCCUGGAACCCAUGUAAAGGUGGAAGGAGAAAACCAGCUCCACAAAGCUGUCCUCUGACCUCCACAUGUGUGCCAUGGC